GAAGCCCGGAGGGACAGAUUCCUUUGUACCGCCACCCAGUUAGGGUGUGACUACUCCAGGAAAGAUCGGACCUAUACAAUACAGACGCAGGUGUUGCUUGGUGACAGACCUCCUUAAGACCCCAAACACAAAACGUAAAAGAAAACGGACGCGUUUCAUACGGGACAAGCGGCUAGCGUUUCCGUGGUGGUCGCACCCGGCGCGGCGGCGAGUCAUCCGAGACAAGUACACAGAGAGGAGUGGCGCGUUGCCUGGCCGGAGUGUGGUUUCCUGCUAUGCCCUGCUCUCCGUCGCCUUAACGCCGCUCUGAGCUCUACAAAGAAGGGCUGAGCACCCUCCUCCCGCCCAGCCAUGAACCCUCACGUUCUGUUACCGCUUGCAACGUGCCUGUUGAUGGUGCUGCUCAUCACAGGGGCCACUGCCAUCGCUCCUCGAGGGCACUCGUUGGACUUCGACAUCUCUGUGACAUCUACGGGUCUCUUGCCGCACCAGCCACGAGUUUUGCGGCAAGUUCUCAGUUCAUCAGGAAUUCUGAAGGCAAGGCGAAAGAUGGCGAAGCAGAUGCGAGAGUUGAGGAGACUGGGAUGCAAGCCUAAGAAGAUCAAGGUGUAUAUGAAGGAAUAUAUUGGGGGAGAUAACGCAAUACUAGAUGCAGUGCCUCUUCCAGAGGUGAUAGUGGUUAAAAGGUGCAUUCAGUCUUGCAGUUUCUGUGGUAGCCCCCUUGGAUUGGAACAUCGACAGUGUUAUCCGGAAGGUGAAAGAAACAAGACCGUGAUCAUAAAGUACAACGGCACUAAUAACAUAAUUAGGCAUUACAGACUCAACAUUCCUGAGCAUAAGAAGUGUAAAUGUAAGUAAGCUGCAGAAACCCAUACUUAUGAUGACAGCAUGAACACACACACACACACACACACACACACACACACACACACACACACACACACACACACACACACACACACACACACACACACUAUAAUGUAUGUCGUUGGUGACAUGUGUUUGACAUAUCUGAAAUGUUUUGAUAACAGGGUAAUAAAUAUGUUUGUAGAAGGAUGUAAAGUGAAGUCGUGUCGUGUUUGUCUUUCAAUUAAUAAUAUGCUUCCGCGACCUACUCUCAAUUUCUUAACUCAUAGACAUACCUUACUAUAUGUAGCAAACAUGCAUUGCCAACAAGAAAAAUAAAA